rnacentral:rRNA from 1 species
AAUUAUUUAUUUGAUGGUUUCUUACUACAUGGAUAACCGUAGUAAUUCUAGAGCUAAUACAUGCGUAAAGUCCCGACUCUCGCGGGGAGGGAUGUAUUUAUUAGAUUAAAAACCAAUGCGGCCUUUGGUCGGACUUGUGUUGAUUCAUAGUAACCUUUCGGAUCGCAGGGCUUCACGCCGGCGACAGUUCAUUCAAAUUUCUGCCCUAUCAGCUUUCGACGGUAGUGUAGUGGACUACCGUGGCAUUUACGGGUGACGGAGAAUUAGGGUUCGAUUCCGGAGAGGGAGCCUGAGAAACGGCUACCACA